rnacentral:rRNA from 1 species
UACGUAGGUGGCAAGCGUUGUCCGGAAUUAUUGGGCGUAAAGCGCGCGCAGGCGGUCCUUUAAGUCUGAUGUGAAAGCCCUCGGCUCAACCGAGGAGGGUCAUUGGAAACUGGAGGACUUGAGUGCAGAAGAGGAAAGUGGAAUUCCAAGUGUAGCGGUGAAAUGCGUAGAGAAUUUGGAGGAACACCAGUGGCGAAGGCGACUUUCUGGUCUGUAACUGACGCUGAGGCGCGAAAGCGUGGGGAGCAAACAGG